rfam:Hymenobacter sp. MIMBbqt21 scaffold2, whole genome shotgun sequence.
GCGGGAGUAGCUCAGUUGGUAGAGCGACAGCCUUCCAAGCUGUAGGUCGCGAGUUCGAACCUCGUCUCCCGCU